rnacentral:rRNA from 1 species
GUCUACGGCCAUACCACCCUGAACGCGCCCAGUCUCGUCUGAUCUCGGAAGCUAAGCAGGGUUGGGCCUGGUUAGUACUUGGAUGGGAGACCUUUUUAAUCAUCGAUGGUGAAGGGG